ACGUAGGGGGCAAGCGUUAUCCGGAAUUAUUGGGCGUAAAGAGUGCGUAGGUGGUUUUUUAAGCGUGAGGUGAAAGGCAAUAGCUUAACUAUUGUAAGCCUUGCGAACUGGAAGACUUGAGUGCAGGAGAGGAAAGUGGAAUUCCUAGUGGGGCGGUUAAAUGCGUAGAGAUGAGGAGGAGGACCGAAGGCGAAGGCAGCACUCAGGAAUAGUACCGACGCUGAUGAACGAAAGCGUGUGGAGCAAGCAG
rnacentral:rRNA from 1 species